rnacentral:ribozyme from 1 species
ACUGCCCACACCCGUUCGUGGGGCACUCGUUUCGCAGUGUCUCGGAUAUAACGAUUCGGUGGAGAUUGCGAAAAAAUAUGUGAGGAAUCAGACGGUUUGUUUAGAUGACGAUGAUGAUGACGGGGG